rnacentral:rRNA from 1 species
ACUUAAGCAUAUCAAUAAGCGGAGGAAAAGAAACCAACAGGGAUUGCCUCAGUAACGGCGAGUGAAGCGGCAACAGCUCAAAUUUGAAAUCUGGCCCCGUCGGGGUCCGAGUUGUAAUUUGUAGAGAGUGUUUCGGGUGACACCACGGUCUAAGUCUAUUGGAACAUGGCGUCAUAGAGGGUGAGAAUCCCGUAUGUGACCGUGGCUCGAGCCCAUGUGAAGCCUCUUCGACGAGUCGAGUUGUUUGGGAAUGCAGCUCAAAAUGGGUGGUAAAUUUCAUCUAAAGCUAAAUACUGGCUGGAGACCGAUAGCGCACAAGUAGAGUGAUCGAAAGACGAAAAGCACUUUGGAAAGAGAGUCAAAAAGUACGUGAAAUUGUUGAAAGGGAAGCGCUUGCAACCAGACCUGUCCGUAGGUGAUCAGCCGCUGUUCUCAGCGGUGCACUCGCUCUGCGAUCAGGCCAGCAUCGGUUUCGGCGGUCGGAUAAAGGCCUUGGGAAUGUAGCUUCCUUCGGGGAGUCUUAUAGCCCUCGGUGCAAUGCGGCCAGCCGGGACCGAGGACCGCGCUUCGGCUAGGAUGCUGGCGUAAUGGUUGUAAGCGACCCGUCUUGAAACACGGACCAAGGAGUCUAACAUCUAUGCGAGUGUUUGGGUGUCAAACCCAUGCGCGGAAUGAAAGUGAACGGAGGUGAGAACCCUUUAGGGCGCAUCAUCGACCGAUCCAGAUGUCUUCGGAUGGAUUUGAGUAUGAGCAUAGCUGUUGGGACCCGAAAGAUGGUGAACUAUGCCUGAAUAGGGUGAAGCCAGAGGAAACUCUGGUGGAGGCUCGCAGCGGUUCUGACGUGCAAAUCGAUCGUCAAAUUUGGGUAUAGGGGCGAAAGACUAAUCGA